GCCAGUUUCAUAGUUCUCUACUUCAAAUAUCGUUCUCCGAAAUUAAGCAGCGUCGGGCGCGGUUAGUACUUAGAUGGGGACCGCUUGGGAACACCGCGUGUUGUUGGCA
rfam:Drosophila mojavensis strain TSC#15081-1352.22 Ctg01_10973, whole genome shotgun sequence.